GAAACUGUAAACUUGUUUCUGUAAGGGCAGAGGCUCGUUUCCAUCGGCGGGCCUGGAGGAGGGGCGCGGGGCCACCGGUCGAGCGCGCGUCGGGGCGCCGGCGGCGGCUUGGCCGUGGUGGCAGUGGCAGAUUUCCAACCGCCUCCGCGUCUCCGCCCACAUGCGAAGCCAUUGCUAUUCACCUCCGGACGGGCGAGGAAGAACGCGGCGGUUGGAUUUUCGCAGGAGUAUAUGCACAGUGAAAGAACUGCCUUCUCUCGGCGAAUCCAACAUAUUUCUGCAGUGAAAUUGGGCACGGGUCGCCUCCGAACUUGGCAGGCCGUACCGGAAUUGCGCACUUCCUUCUGCCUAGGCAAGCCUGAAAGAGGAAAAACAAGCACCCAUAUUUUUAUGAUUGUAGUGGUAACAGGAUAGUGCAUUAUGAUAUCAGCAUGUAACUUCUGGAAAGGCAGAGGGUUUUACAUCCUUUACAACAAACUCCGUUGUCUCGGCAUGGCAACUCCCAAGGCAACUCCUGCUAGAACUUCUACAGUCCUCGACCGGAUUUCCGUAGCUCGCAAACUCAAUAUCCGUGAUGUGUUUGCCUUGCUGACACCGGAGUCGAACUGCUGGGUGCUUUCUGCGUGACAAGAGUGAUGGAGUGGAUAACUCAUUCACACUACUGUAUACUCGGGUAACCGACAUUGUGUUCACGCUUAUCUGUAGCGGAUCACCACCCAUUUCCUCCAUGAGGACGAGGGUGUUCUCUCUAGGCUUCAGAAAGUAUUGUGGUAUGUGGUACCUUCAGAAAAGACAGUUAAAUGAGACAUCAAUUAUUGGUUUGUUGUUGAUUAUACAAGUUAAAGAAAGGAA